AGUAACAUCCGGAAACGGGUGCUAAUACCGCAUAGGUUUCUUGAUCGCAUGAUUGAGAAAGGAAAGACGGCCUUUGUGCUGUCGCUUAUGGAUGGACCCGCGGCGUAUUAGUUAGUUGGUGAGGUAACGGCUCACCAAGACGAUGAUACGUAGCCGACCUGAGAGGGUGAUCGGCCACAUUGGGACUGAGACACGGCCCAAACUCCUACGGGAGGCAGCAGUAGGGAAUCUUCCGCAAUGGACGAAAGUCUGACGGAGCAACGCCGCGUGAGUGAAGAAAGGUUUUCGGAUCGUAAAACUCUGUUGUCAGAGAAGAACAAGUUGGAGAGUAACUGCUCCAGCCUUGACGGUAUCUGACCAGAAAGCCACGGCUAACUACGUGCCAGCAGCCGC
rnacentral:rRNA from 1 species